AUUGAACGCUGGCGGCUUGCCUUACACACGCAAGUCGAACGGCAGCAUGGAGAGCUUGCUCUCUGAUGGCGAGUGGCGAACGGGUGAGUAAAGCAUCGGAACGUACCGUGUAGUGGGGGAUAACGUAGCGAAAGUUACGCUAAAACCGCAUACGCACUGAGGUGGAAAGCAGGGGAUCGUAAGUCCUUGCGCUAUACGAGCGGCCGAUGUCAGAUUAGCUAGUUGGUAGGGUAAAGGCCUACCAAGGCGACGAUCUGUAGCGGGUCUGAGAGGAUGAUCCGCCACACUGGGACUGAGACACGGCCCAGACUCCUACGGGAGGCAGCAGUGGGGAAUUUUGGACAAUGGGGGCAACCCUGAUCCAGCCAUGCCGCGUGAGUGAAGAAGGCCUUCGGGUUGUAAAGCUCUUUCGGCCGGGAAGAAAUCGCACAGGCUAAUACCCUGUGUGGAUGACGGUACCGGCAUAAGAAGCACCGGCUAACUACGUGCCAGCCGCCGCAGUAA
rnacentral:rRNA from 1 species